UUUUAUAUUUUAAUUAUGUAUUUUUAAUUUACAGUAAUGCAUUAAUUAAGUUACAUAUUUCUGUCUGCAACGUCGAUGAGUAUAUAAUAACAGCAAUGGACUUCGUUAAUUCUUUACUGGGCAUAGGAUACUAUGAUUCUAUUAAAAUAUCUUACCAAAGACGAAUGUUGCUUAGAUGCCGACAGGAAGCAGAUAUAGUGACGGCGAGAUGGUGAUUUGAAGCAACGAUUUCGUCAAUUAUAUCACUUCAAAUUGCGUAACAUUGUAAGAAUGGUUCAAGUUAUCCAUGCAUGUUGCAUUUUGCACAACAUCGCAAAUGCAAAUGACAUGGACGUUUUUGAAGCACCACUGGAUGAUGAAUAUCCUGAUCUAGUAUUGGCACAUAUACAAUUGGCACAAUACGAACAGGAAGAACAUGUACAAGACAAUACUGGACAAAUUACAAGGGAUGAAAUUUGUAGGCAAUU